UUUACCUUUCUUCCAAAUUUUGAGAUAGCAAAAGGAGUAGGGCAGCCGUGAGUUCCAGAGUUUUGCUUCACAAAUUUAUUCCGGAAUGUAUUUGAGGAGUUAAGCGUUUGAGGUUGAGCGUGACGGGUGCGAUGGGUGUUGAGCAAG